AGUGCCAUGAGGUGAGCCCUUUGUGACAUCACAGGGUAAAUCCCUGCCUUAGUAAUAGCAGAGUGCUUAGCCUGAGGAUAGCUCAGAGCCCAGCAAGGAGGGCUGGGAUUCACACUGAGCACGUGUGUCUCCCUCGGCUUGGGCUAUUUUCUAGGAUGGACUACCUGAAAUUCAUCACGUCCACAUCCAUAUGUGUGAAACUGCAUGAGGAGGACAUGGAAUGAUGCCACAUAUCUUGCUACAAAUAUGUAUAAACAGUUGCUGUAAGUAUCAGCAAGGUGUGUGUGUGUGUGUGUGUGUG
rnacentral:lncRNA from 1 species